rnacentral:rRNA from 1 species
UUCAGUGAAAUCGAGUAGGGCGGGACACGUGAUAUCCUGUCUGAAUAUGGGGGGACCAUCCUCCAAGGCUAAAUACUACUGACUGACCGAUAGUGAACCAGUACCGUGAGGGAAAGGCGAAAAGAACCCCUGUGAGGGGAGUGAAAUAGAACCUGAAACCGUGUACGUACAAGCAGUAGGAGCAGGCUUUGUCCUGUGACUGCGUACCUUUUGUAUAAUGGGUCAGCGACUUAUAUUCAGUGGCAAGGUUAACCAUCUAGGGGAGCCGUAGGGAAACCGAGUCUUAACUGGGCGUUCAGUCUCUGGAUAUAGACCCGAAACCAGGUGAUCUAGCCAUGGGCAGGUUGAAGGUUGAGUAACAUCAACUGGAGGACCGAACCGACUAAUGUUGAAAAAUUAGCGGAUGACUUGUGGCUAGGGGUGAAAGGCCAAUCAAACCUGGAGAUAGCUGGUUCUCCCCGAAAGCUAUUUAGGUAGCGCCUCGGACGAAUACUACUGGGGGUAGAGCACUGUUAAGGCUAGGGGGUCAUCCCGACUUACCAACCCUUUGCAAACUCCGAAUACCAGUAAGUACUAUCCGGGAGACACACGGCGGGUGCUAACGUCCGUCGUGGAGAGGGAAACAACCCAGACCGCCAGCUAAGGUCCCAAAUUACUACUAAGUGGGAAACGAUGUGGGAAGGCUCAGACAGCCAGGAUGUUGGCUUAGAAGCAGCCAUCAUUUAAAGAAAGCGUAAUAGCUCACUGGUCGAGUCGGCCUGCGCGGAAGAUGUAACGGGGCUAAGUAGUAAACCGAAGCUGCGGCAAUACUCUUUGAGUAUUGGGUAGGGGAGCGUUCUGUAAGCGGUUGAAGGUGUGUGGUAACGCAUGCUGGACGUAUCAGAAGUGCGAAUGCUGACAUGAGUAACGAUAAAGGGGGUGAAAAACCUCCUCGCCGGAAGACCAAGGGUUCCUGUCCAACGUUAAUCGGGGCAGGGUAAGUCGACCCCUAAGGCGAGGCCGAAAGGCGUAGUCGAUGGGAAACGGGUUAAUAUUCCCGUACUUCUUACAAUUGCGAUGGGGGGACGGAGAAGGCUAGGUGGGCCUGGCGACGGUUGUCCAGGUUCAAGUGCGUAGGCUUGAGAGUUAGGUAAAUCCGGCUCUCUCUAAGGCUGAGACACGA